rnacentral:rRNA from 1 species
UAGGGAAUCUUCCGCAAUGGGCGAAAGCUUGACGGAGCAACGCCGCGUGAGUGAUGAAGGUCUUCGGAUCGUAAAACUCUGUUAUUAGGGAAGAACAAAUGUGUAAGUAACUAUGCACGUCUUGACGGUACCUAAUCAGAAAGCCACGGCUAACUACGUGCCAGCAGCCGCGGUAAUACGUAGGUGGCAAGCGUUAUCCGGAAUUAUUGGGCGUAAAGCGCGCGUAGGCGGUUUUUUAAGUCUGAUGUAAAAGCCCACGGCUCAACCGUGGAAGGUCAUUGGAAACUGGAAAACUUGAGUGCAGAAGAGGAAAGUGGAAUUCAAUGUGUAGCGGUGAAAUGCGCAGAGAUAUGGAGGAACACCAGUGGCGAAGGCGACUUUCUGGUCUAUAACUGACGCUGAUGUGCGAAAGCGUGGGGAUCAAACAGG